rnacentral:rRNA from 1 species
GUGCCAAGCAGCCGCGGUAAUUCCAGCUCCAAUAGCGUAUAUUAAAGUUGUUGCGGUUAAAAAGCUCGUAGUUGGAUCUCGGCGGGCAGGGGGUGGUUCGCUCUUCAGCGCUACUGCCCCGCUUUGCCCGUGUGAUUGGCGGAGGUUUCGGGGUGCUCUUCGUUGAGUGACUCGGAGCGCCGUCAGGUUUACUUUGAAAAAAUUAGAGUGCUCAAAGCAGGCUUUUCACGCUUGAAUAUUCGUGCAUGGAAUAAUGGAAUAGGAACUCGUUUCUAUUUUGUUGGUUUUCGGAAAUCGAGUUAAUGAUUAACAGGGACAAUUGGGGGCAUUAGUAUUCAGACGACAGAGGUGAAAUUCUUGGACCGUCUGAAGACUGACUACUGCGAAAGCAUUUGCCAAGAGUGUUUUCAUUAAUCAAGAACGAAAGUUAGAGGUUCGAAGGCGAUCAGAUACCGCCCUAGUUCUAACCAUAAACGAUGCCAGCUAGCGAUCUGCCGAGUUUUUUUUGUAGGCUCCGCAGGAAGCUUUCGGGAAACCAAAGCUUUUGGGUUCCGGGGGAAGUAUGGUUGCAAAGCUGAAACUUAAAGGAAUUGACGGAAGGGCACCACCAGGAGUGGAGCCUGCGGCUUAAUUUGACUCAACACGGGAAAUCUCACCAGGCCCGGACACUGGAAGGAUUGACAGAUUGAGAGCUCUUUCUCGAUUCGGUGGGUGGUGGUGCAUGGCCGUUCUUAGUUGGUGGAGUGAUUUGUCUGGUUAAUUCCGAUAACGAACGAGACUCUGUCCUGCUAAAUAGUUGGGUCGUCCUUCGUGCGAUCCAAGUUCUUCUUAGAGGGACUGGCUGCGUCUAGCAGCACGAGAUUGAGCAAUAACAGGUCUGUGAUGCCCA